UCUUAGUAGAGGUUUUAAACAAAAGUAGGCAUUUAAUUAAAUCAAAAUAAAUGAAAAUUAAAGUAACCGAUCCUUAAUACAGAGUUUUGACAACCGACUAUAGAGAGAUUUCUUAAUACACGUGUCACCAGGCUGUUAUUUAGGAACUUUUUUAUUUUCUCUUUUUUCUUUCUUUUCUCUUCUUUCUCUUCUUUCUCUCCUCUUCUCUCGUGUUCGUCGACUCAAAGAAAAACGACAGAGAUGCCCGCUUGAUCGCCGGCGUUCUGUUUCUCUCCGGCCGCCGAGUCUUUCACCUUUUUUUACUAGUAAGAUUUUCGUUCUCUUAUCGAUGUCUUUGUUUAUUAUUAUUAUUUUUAAUCGUUAGUUGAAUCUGUUUGCAAAUCUUCGUUGAUGUGAUUAAAUUGGCUUAGAUUAACCUUUUGUAUGUGUUUGAUUGUUGAUUGUUCGAUAUGUAUCUACUGGAGAUUGAAACAUAGGCUCAGUCUCGUGGGUACAGUAGCUUUCGAUCUGGCUUUAACCGCCGCUGCAGCCUUCGCCGCCGAUGAUCAUCUUCGUGAAAACGUCCCCGUCAUGGUGGUCGAGACUGUUUUCCCUGGAGGAUCCGACCCGAAGGCUACUGUCUCAACCCGAUUGGCUUGGUCUUGUUUUCUAAGCAGGUAACAUGACACAAGACGAGGCAUGAAGUUGGUUGCUGUUUCUAAAAAAACACGAGGCAUGAAGUUGGUAGAAAGUUACUUGGGAGUGGAAGGAUCACGGACUUGUGUCUUGUGGUGAUUGUGUCUUGUGGUGAUUGUAUCAUUACAAUCAUCCAAGCAGCAGCUGGUGCUGGCCGUACAAUGCUGAUAAGUGAUAGUGGAAACGUUUACUCGUGUGGGAAAGAUUCGUUCGGUGAAGCUGAAUACGGAGGGCAAGGGUCUAAUGUUCCUGGUCUUGUUGUCUAGUUCGUAUGUCAGGAUCACUCACUCUAUCUUCAAAGAACGUCAAGAAUGGCUCGGGAAAGGUGUGUGUGUGUGUUGGAGUGUGUGUUGGAGUGUCACGAGAUAUGUGUGUCUGUUGUAGUUGUUGUCUUGUGGCACAAACAGUUUAUAAAUCACAAGAGAAGUGUUGUUGUUGUUGUCUUGUGUCGCGGGUGAUUUAUAAAUCACAAGAGAAGUUGUAGUUGUUCUCUUGUGUCACAGACACUUUAUAAAUCACAAACACACUUGAUUCUCUUUAUAAAUCACAAUCAAUUCUUCUCCUUCUCUUCACAUUCUUCUCUUCAUUUUUUUGCUCACAUUCUUCUCUCAAAUAUGAUGGGUGUUCAAAUUACAAUUCGUAAUAGACAAAUGCAUCACCAACUCAAAACUGAUUUGGUUGAACAUUUAUGAAGUAAAUUUGUAUGUGAUGAAAACAACAACUGAGUUCGAGAUGUUUAUUUCAAAUUAUUUUCGUUUAUUGUACUAAUUUUUAUUUUUAUGUUUUCUUUUAAAUCUAUGUUUUAAAUGUUAUCUUUUAAUAUGUUUUAUUUAAUAAAUAAAUUUUAUCUUAAAAUUUUUUUUUUUUAAGAAUCUCUAAUUAAGAAACUCCCAUUGGACCACUCAAAAUAAGAGUUUCUUAACUAGAGUUCUUAAUCCCACUAAAGUACAUUUAUAUAACUAAAUUAUCAUUAAGAAACCCAUUUAAGAGUCAUGGGAUAAUCAUGCUCUAAGACACGUAGCAAAGUUGGACACCUUAAUGAGAUUGUUGUGGAUUGGAAAAUGGACACUGCAAAACGCGUUUUACUCAUUUGGUUACGUUUAAAAAUUAUAUAUAGUCACUUUGGUCGGUCGAAACAAGGCUUACCAUUCGUCCACGAAUGAAUCUUAAACUUUACAACAGCAAAAAAGAAAUAUAAAACACUAGACUUUCUAACAAAAUGUGUAGUAUUUAGGAUUGAUUAUUGAUUUGUGCGUUAUUGGUUAUAUUGGAGCUACUUGGUCAAAAGCUGUACCGAACUUCCUAUUUGUGUAAAAAGAAGCUAUCAUCGAAUUUUUAUAUCGCACGUUUUAUGUCAUAAUCUAAUUAUGCGUCCACGCCACCUCAUCCUCAUCCUCUGUCACUUUUCACCAUCAAAUAAUUUGGUCUCCCUCUUAUCUCUUGGGAUUUAAUUGGGUAGUGUCGUGGGAGUGUACAUAAUAAACUUACACUUACAAUCGAUGAGCAUGAUGAGAUAAUACUGUGAUGUACCCACUGGUGAAAUUAAAGUGAGUUAGUUCUAAUAGAACAGACUAAGCACGUAACACGUAUCCAUAACUUUUUCUUUAAAGAAUUAUUCCCUUUUUAUGAUCUCACCCGCCAAGUAAUAAACUGAUACCAUAGCACUAAUAUAUCUUUGACUGUAUAGUGGUUACGACUUCUAGACUGUACGUGUCUUCUUUACUCGUCUUCUACAGUAUAUUCGUAUGUUGUACUCACUCGCAAAAGCUUCAGUGUUUGAAGUGUAAGAACAUUUGCUCCAGUUCCACUAAUGAUCAUUAAUUAUAUACUACUUCGUUUUGCAUAGUAUUAAUUAGUGAGCGUUUAGGGGUCUCCUUAUUCAUCUUCUAUCUUUGAUGUUGUUAAAGAAAAAAAGAUGAGAGUGAUUGCAUGCAGCAAUUGAUUUCAACCUUUUCUUUUAUUUUGAACAUUAAUGAAUCAUGACGUUACACGCAACGUUCGAUGGCGCCAUCUUCCACGAGAUCGCGCGAAGAAGCGGGCCAUACUAUGAACGUAAGCUUAAAUAAACUUGCGUGACGAAGAAACAUCCAGAAACAUCA